CUCGCCCGCCGCCUCCAGCUACUCGCCGGCUUCGCCACCCGCGCCGCUGCCUGUCUUGCAACGAGCGCCGGAGCAGCCUACAUACAAGAGUAGCGUUCAAGACAACAUGCGCAGCUUGGGAACCGCUGGCUGAAACUGCAAGUUGUUGUCUCUACCAAUUAGCCUUACCAAGCCGGGCUCCUUCUAUCUCGUGUUAGAGCUUGGUAACGACGGCCACACAAUGACAAGGUUGGCAAUUAACAACUCUCUUCUUCGUGGCAUGGCUGUUUCACGGUUAGAUUGAUGCUGCUGUAUGUGGUUGAUGGAGGAAGCACGGGGAGGAGCAAAAACAAAUGGUGAUGGAGGAGGAAAAACAAAUGGCGAUCUCCAUGUACAAGGGGCUCAUUGGUCGCUUGGCCUGCUUUUGGUAUAUCAAUGAGGAUAUCCCUGACAUAAAUUCGUUUAGUGACAGUCUUGGAGAGAAAUUUACUACUGUCGAUGCACACACUCAUUCGGGGUAGAAUCUGAUCUCGAGUGCUGAUUGUUUCUCGAUUUCACGCCUCUUCUUCUCCACCGCACCCUUGCUCAGGCAUCAACAGCUUGUUGCCAUGGUUUGAAUCACACAUGUUCAGUUGAAUGGAUAUCUAAGAGGACCAAGGUGAUGUUGUUGUGAGAUAUUUGCAAAGGGAGGACAACCUACAAAUAUUGACCGAUAAAUUAUCCAUCAUAUGUAUCUUUCAUCCCACCACCCCCGCGGCAUCCUCUCCCUCGUGCCGAUUUGUUGCCCGACCGUGCAGACAACAUAGCAAUGACCAUUUGUCGGGUUGUUGUUGCCUUUGGGUUGCUCACUGUAUCGACUGUCUUGUGAUUCCCCACCUGCUUGCCCUGCAUAUUUUCCAUUUGAUGAAAUGUAUACUAGCUAACUCCAUGUUCUUCUAUCAUUUUAUUUUACUUUGCAGGUUCUAUUGUUUGUGACGUGCUUCUUGUUGAUCAUCUGCUGCUUUGGCAUGUCAAGGUUUGUGUUUUUCCUUUCCUUAGCAAUGUAUUGUUUCCUUACUGACGCAAUGGACAGCCAUUCAAAUCCAAUGGUUGGUUGAUUGAUUGUUCUAUUUGAAAUUUCUAACAUGCACAGCAAAAUGCUUAUUCAGUACUAAUUUCUGAAACUCAGGGCCAAUGCUGGUGUCAGGACCACUGCGAUCACAAACAAAGCCAAGUAGCUGCUGCUCCGCUCUCUACUGAAGAAGCAUUUGUAGGUUAUUCUAUGCAUAAGACUGCGCUUUUAUGUGUCGUUUCCUUCAAGCUGUCAUUGCAACAGAAGAUGAAGUGUAUCUUCGUGAUCAGUAGAUCACUGCGUGAUGCCCCAUGUUGUAAUUCUAUCGCUACGUGGACAUGUGCAAGAAAUGCAAGUAAGCAGCCUUGUUCAGAAGUGCUUUAUCAAGUUCCUGUAAACUUGGAAGUUUUC